rnacentral:rRNA from 1 species
AUUGAACGCUGGCGGCAUGCCUUACACAUGCAAGUCGAACGGUAACAGGUCUUCGGAUGCUGACGAGUGGCGAACGGGUGAGUAAUACAUCGGAACGUGCCUAGUAGUGGGGGAUAACUACUCGAAAGAGUGGCUAAUACCGCAUGAGAUCUACGGAUGAAAGCAGGGGAUCGCAAGACCUUGUGCUACUAGAGCGGCCGAUGGCAGAUUAGGUAGUUGGUGGGAUAAAAGCUACCAAGCCGACGAGCUGUAGCUGGUCUGAGAGGACGAUCAGCCGCCAUGGGAUGGGGGCGCGGCCGAGACUCCUACGGGAGGCAGCGGUGGGGAAUGUUGGACAAUGGGCGAAAGCCUGAUCCAGCAAUGCCGCGUGCAGGAUGAAGGCCUUCGGGUUUUAAACUGCUUUUGUACGGAACGAAAAGCCCUGGGUUAAUACCCUGGGGUCAUGACGGUACCGUAAGAAUAAGCACCGGCUAACUACGUGCCAGCAGCCGCAGUAA